UCUCGUUCUCUUCUCUCAUGUCUGAAAUUCGGACGAUUUGGUUGUCUCAGAGAUCUCAAAUUCCAAAUCAAGCCGACCAAUUCAUUUUCCAACUUAGGGUUGUUAGGUUUACGUAUAAAAGUUGUUUUAGGGUUCAGUUUCUCUUCUCUAGUCUCUAAAUCUGCAGAAAGAAGAAGAAAAUCCCUAAACUUGUCAUUUUUAUAAGAAAAUGCUAACAGAACUAGGGAUUUUGAUUUGGGAGAUCUUUCCUCGUCAAAGAGUUUGCAAUUGGAAAUCAGAUGGCUCCGAUCUGUAAAGAACCUAACAAUUUCUACAACAUUAACUCCUUCAAACACUCUGAUAGCUGAUGCUCUUUAUUAUAACGCACCUUUGACAUUCAGUGUGCUGCAUAAGCUUGGAGUAACCACAGAAGUAUUUAAUAUGUGGUUCCAGGUGUUGCAAGAAGUCAAAAAGAGUGGUAUGCAGGAAAACUUUAAAAGAGUGGUUCCAGGGUUUUUACAGCAACUCUUGUUCUCCUGGUUGCCUAUAAGGAUCAAGUAGCAGAAGCAGCAAAGGAAGAGGAAAAUGUUGAUUAUGAUGACAUGAAGGGGGGUUUCAAACUGAUGAUGAUGAAGAAGAUGAAGAUGGAUCCGACAGGGAUAUGGGAGUUGAAGCUGAGGAUGGUGAUGAAGCUGACAGUCUUAAGCUCCAAAUUAAUGUUAGCUGCUCAGGCAAGAUCAUUUCGCCCUGCUGAUGAGGAUGACGAGGACUCAGAUGAUGAUUACAGAGAUGAUGAAGAGUUACAAUCACCAAUUGAUGAUGUUGAUCCUUUCAUUUUCUUCAUUUAUACGCACAGUCGAAGUUCAACAAGCCCCGGAUCCUGCAAGAUUCCAGAGCUUUACGCAAGCACUUGACUUCCCUCAUCAGGCCUUGGCUAGUGGCUUAGCUCAGCAUCCCAAACAAAGGAGAAUAGAAAUAGAAAAAAAGAAGAUGGAGAAGGCAGCAGCAGGGAGUCCAGGGACCAACGCUAUCUUGUGUUUGUCAUUUUACAUUUGGAUGAGAGAUGAUUGGGAUGUCUGUGCGCAAUAUAAAGAGCAACUUGAAGCAAAACAGAUACACAAACAAGAUUCUAUGAUGGUUGUGGGUAAAUUUUUUAUGUUUUCAUUGAAAAACAAUGCAAGGGAAUCAUUGGUUUGCUAGUGAACAAAACUAACGACUCUAUGAAGAUGCAAUUUUUAAUAUCUGUCACAUGAAAGCUUUAUAGGUAGAGGAGGAGCAAAAGGAAUAAGAGUAUGAUGAUGAUGAGGCGCCUGAGAUAACAACAAUAUGUAUUGUGGUGCUGAAUACUAAGUUUCCAGGAUGUGUUUGACAUUAGGCAAUUUAUCCUGUUGGUACAUCAUAGGUACUCGGAGGUCACAUGGACCAUGUACUGAACUGACUAAAUGCAUAUUUCGCUAUAUAUCUCUAUCAAUAUGUUUGUCAUAUGUUGGUUAUGUUUAUUGGACAUGCUGAUCUUUUAACUGGAUGCUAAUGGGUCUAGGUUUCUAAAUUCAGAUUAGGUGCCACCACAUUAAUGGAACUGAUGAUAGCUGCUAGCAAUGAAGUUCCACAACUGAAACUGGAAAAUGGACUGGUUGUUGACAAAGUGUAUACGGGAACAUGCUCCGUGUUCAUUGAUGCAUUACGUGGCUUAUGAUCUAUAUCAUGGAAAUUUACAGAUGUUUAGAGGUGCAAUGAAUAUUCUUGACGAGGAUAUAUGGCAUAAUGUUGGAUGCGCUAGUUCCCUCAUCAACUGUUCUUCAUGAGGAGAUCUCUUGUUCUUAAUGUGUUUCCUUAUAACUUUUCCUAUUUGAUUUCACUGAUGCAACUCUUUCUAUCUCAGGUUGCCUGUGGUUUAGCUGAUAAAGCAAAGGACCCCAUUGUGGACAUAGUUGAAGGAGAUGUUGAUAAUCAGUCAGAUGUCCUGCAGUACGUCAAAGAAUUGUAAAAAAACAAAAAGAGAGUAAGUAUCAUAGUUAAAGGACUGGAGUCCUCUAUAACUUGUGUGAAUGGUUGAUUUGUUGUAGAUAUUGAGCGGCUUCACUGAAAGGCGUGUGAUAUCUAGCACAUUUCUCUUGUUGAUUCCUCCAGUAGAAAUGACUUACAAACCAUGGUGACAACUUAAACUUCAACCUUCGGGAAUGCCUCAUGCAGCAGGAAUACAAUAACUUGCAAAAUACAAAGGAUCUGAGUGGUUUGUUGCUUAUAUACUCUUCACUUGGGGAUGCUGAAGGAAUACAAGAACUUGCAUCUCUUGCCAAAGAACAGCAACCGGAUUCCUGAAGCUGCUUUGGUUGCGGUCUUAUCAUACAAACAAGGUCUCACAGAUAUGAGGAAUAAGUGCCACUACUUACAAGGCUGUUUAUGAAGCAACACAAAGCUAUACUUGUUUGAGCAUGUAGGUAAUGUAUCUAUCACUGCUAUUGCACUUAACAUUACAACUGCAGAAUUUGUAUGUUCUGAAAACUUAAGAAAUAUUUAUAUACUUGUCAUUCUUUUGAUAUUACACACAGAGUUUGUAUGUCCUUGGAACUUAAGAAAAAUUUCUGGCUAUAGCGUGAAACUUAAGAGAUUUAUAUCAAGCUGUUGUUCUUUGUCAUUCUUUUUCAGAGGUAUACAUAAGAACUCUUUAGUUUAUGAUUUCACGAAUUGCCUAAGUUUAAUGAUGGGGUUAGUGUUUAUAAUUCAAUGUAAGUGACCAUGUGUUUCCUAAGUUAUGUCUCUUAGAAGCUUAUGGUUGUAUGCUUU